GGGUGGGUGGAUGGAUGGGUGGGUGGGUGGAUGGAGUUGUGUUUUCCCUCCCAGUGAAUGUUGAACUUUUCAUGGCAGUCUAGUUGAUAACAGCACGACUGUAUGUGUUGAACGUGUAAACGACUAUGUGUUGAACGUGUAAAUGACUGUGUUGAACGUGUAAAUGACUAUGUGUUGAACGUGUAAAUGCUUUCAUCAAACAUUAGUCAAGCCAGUUGUUCUACUCUCAACCUUUUGUUUAAAACGGAUUUAAAAUGAGAUAAUAUAAUACAAUGAGUUUAAUAGUAUUUCAAAUACUAGAGGCUUCUAAUAAUGAGGUGUUGCAAGAGGCUUCUAAUAAUGAUGUGAUGCAAGAGGCUUCUAAUAAUGAUGUGAUUCAAGAGGCUUCUAAUAAUGAUGUGAUUCAAGAGGCUUCUAAUAAUGUGUUGCAAGAGGCUUCUAAUAAUGAUGUGUUGCCAGAGGCUUCUAAUAAUGAUGUGAUGCCAGAGGCUUCUAAUAAUGAUGUGAUGCCAGAGGCUUCUAAUAAUGAUGUGUUGCCAGAGGCUUCUAAUAAUGAUGUGAUGCCAGAGGCUUCUAAUAAUGAUGUGUUGCCAGAGGCUUCUAAUAAUAAUGUGUUGCCAGAGGCUUCUAAUAAUGAUGUGUUGCCAGAGGCUUCUAAUAAUGAUGUGUUGCCAGAGGCUUCUAAUAAUGAUGUGAUGCAAGAGGCUUCUAAUAAUGAUGUGAUGCAAGAGGCUUCUAAUAAUGAUGUGUUGCCAGAGGCUUCUAAUAAUGAUGUGUUGCCAGAGGCUUCUAAUAAUGAUGUGUUGCCAGAGGCUUCUAAUAAUGAUGUGAUGCAAGAGGCUUCUAAUAAUGAUGUGAUGCAAGAGGCUUCUAAUAAUGAUGUGAUGCAAGAGGCUUCUAAUAAUGAUGUGUUGCCAGAGGCUUCUAAUAAUGAUGUGUUGCCAGAGGCUUCUAAUAAUGAUGUGUUGCCAGAGGCUUCUAAUAAUGAUGUGUUGCCAGAGGCUUCUAAUAAUGAUGUGUUGCAAGAGGCUUCUAAUAAUGAUGUGAUUCAAGAGGCUUCUAAUAAUGAUGUGAUGCCAGAGGCUUCUAAUAAUGAUAUACAGUGCAUUCGGAAAGUAUUCAGACCCCUUGAUGUUUUCCACAGUUUGUUACGUUACAGCAAUAUUCUAAAAUUGAUUAAUCUACACACAGUACCCCAUAAUGACAAAGCAAAUGUUAUUUGUGACAUUUUUACAAAUGUAUUAAAAAUAAAAAAUGGAAAUAUUAC
rnacentral:lncRNA from 1 species